rnacentral:rRNA from 1 species
CAGUAGCCACGGGAACACGAAGGGUGCAAGCGUUAAUCGGAAUUACUGGGCGUAAAGGGUGCGUAGGCGGUUCGUUAAGUCUGUCGUGAAAUCCCCGGGCUCAACCUGGGAAUGGCGAUGGAUACUGGCGAGCUAGAGUGUGUCAGAGGAUGGUGGAAUUCUCGGUGUAGCGGUGAAAUGCGUAGAGAUCGGGAGGAACAUCAGUGGCGAAGGCGGCCAUCUGGGACAACACUGACGCUGAGGCACGAAAGCGUGGGGAGCAAACAGGAUUAGAGACCCCAGUAGUCCCUGUCUCUUAUAA